rnacentral:tRNA from 11 species
AGCGGGUGUAGUUUAGUGGUAAAACUACAGCCUUCCAAGCUGUUGUCGCGAGUUCGAUUCUCGUCACCCGCUUUGA